rnacentral:rRNA from 1 species
UGAGGAAUAUUGGUCAAUGGACGCAAGUCUGAACCAGCCAUGCCGCGUGAAGGAUGAAGGCCUUCUGGGUUGUAAACUUCUUUUAUUGGGGAAGAAAAUUACGGUUUCUACUGUAACCGACGGUACCCAAGGAAUAAGCACCGGCUAACUCCGUGCCAGCAGCCGCGGUAAUACGGAGGGUGCAAGCGUUAUCCGGAUUCACUGGGUUUAAAGGGUGUGUAGGCGGGCAUUUAAGUCAGUGGUGAAAUCUCCGAGCUCAACUCGGAAACUGCCAUUGAUACUAUUUGUCUUGAAUAUCGUUGAGGUUGGCGGAAUAUAUCAUGUAGCGGUGAAAUGCUUAGAUAUGAUAUAGAACACCGAUUGCGAAGGCAGCUAACUAAGCGAUGAUUGACGCUGAGGC